UACGGAGGUCUCAAGCGUUGUUCGGAUUUAUUGGGCGUAAAGGGCGCGUAGGCGGCGGGGUAAGUCGGGUGUGAAAUCUCAGGGCUCAACCCUGAAACUGCACUUGAUACUGCUCUGCUUGAGGACUGGAGAGGAGACUGGAAUUCACGGUGUAGCAGUGAAAUGCGUAGAUAUCGUGAGGAAGACCAGUGGCGAAGGCGGGUCUCUGGACAGUUCCUGACGCUGAGGCACGAAGGUCAGGGGAGCAAACGGG
rnacentral:rRNA from 1 species